rnacentral:lncRNA from 1 species
AUAGGUUUCAAUAAUGUUAGAUGGCAAAAUAUUCAUUUCAGGACCAUAUAUAGUCCACCAUUCAUAAAACCAUAUUGGAAUUCCUCCUCCAACUUUCAUAAUCUGGGGACAUAGUUUAAUGAACCAAGUAUGUUUAUUCUUAGGGUUCUGGUAUAAGAACACCUGAUGAAAUUCAAAUUGAUAAUCCCAAUAAGUAUAAUUAUAGGAAUUAUCUCCCCUCUUUAUUAGUUUUUGGGCUGGGUGAAUCACAGUCCCAUGAUCCUGGUAUACCACUUUUUGAUAAUAACUUUGCUGUAAACGAUAGCAAUGUCGUUAUACCUUAGGAUUCUCCCUUGUAUGAGUAAUAGUCAUACAAUCAAUAUUGGAGGUAGUCUCAAAUAUCCCUGGGCUUACUAUAAGGUAAGCUUGAUAAGGAGAAAAAUAUUUAUUCCUUCCUGAUAAUCAACGGAUCUUCUAGAAGAUAUAAUCUUCUUGCUCUAUAUAAUAAAUAUGGGGACAUGUCCUCCUUCUGAAUAUAAUCCGUUAUUUUCAUCUUUGGCUACUAUCUUCAGCCAUUAUUUCUUUACUCUGCUUUGAUGAUGAAUAUGAUAAUCUCAAAUAAUCACCUCUUUUCCUAUUCACCAUAGGGAAUCCAAUCGAAAUUCAAUAAUAACUGUUGGUUUCUUUCUGGAGAAUAUAAUCUCCUCCACGACCUCUUCCCUCCGUUGAGAUCCUCUUCUUAUUGAGGAGGCCAUCUGCAAACAGCUAUUUGAUAUGUAAUUCUCUUUUAAGCAUAAUGACAUAAUAAUCUAGGCUAAUUGAUCUUUAAGGUCUUUAAUUUGUGACGCUAAUAAAACCACAUUUUCUCAAAAUCUUGAAUAAACUGAGAAUCAGUAAAACUGUUAUCAUCGAUAUUUGAUGUUGCUCCCUAUAAAAAAUUUUCCUUCUAAAAUUUAAAUCUAUGUAUAAUUUUCACUAAUUUUUUCCUUUCUUUCUUUCUGUUUCGCUAAUCAUAAGAGAAAACUAGGGAUUGUUUCACAAUCAUUGUAAUAUUUUAGUUUUGAGAUCUCUAACUAAUCUCAUCAUAUAAAUAUUUUAUUAAUUGUGCUAUCAUUAUCCCAUAACAGACUUAGCAUUCUCAAUAUAAUAGAUUGGUGACAAUAUUUGUUUCUUUUUCCUUUUGUUCUAUAUCGUGCAAUAUUUUUCUUAAUUUUCUUAUCUCUUGAUACUUAUCUUAAUCAAGAGGAGUUAUCUUUAUAGCUUAUUUUAUUUGUUGAAAAUCUUUUCAUUUUUGAAAAAUAUUUUUUCAUUUCGAAGCAUUAGAUUUACCUUCUGAGUUUUACUCUUUUUAAAACUUAUUUUAUCAAAUUUUAUGGCAUUAUCCAUACUCUCCUAUUGGUCUAAUAUUUUAUUUUAAUCAUGAAAAUAUUUUAAAAAUAGUUUCUAUAUAACUUAAAAAUUCUAGUUUUUGAAAGACGUAUGGAAUUCAUUAUGAUUUAAUAUAAUUCUCAGUUUUAUAAAUGAAAGAGAUAUUUUCCAAUAUCUACUAUAAGUAAAAGGACAAUUAUUCUUUUUUCUAAUAUUCAAUUUUUGAUAAAUAAUAUUUACAUCCUUUCUCUUCCAGUUGGUCAAUCUACUGACCAUUGGGAGAAAAUUCCCUGUGGUAAGAAAAUCAGGGAGAGAGUUAGUUUCACCCUGAUAUAAUCAAUUUCAAAGUCCAAAAAGAAAGAUAAACUCUGCUUGCAUCUAGCAAAUAUUUUCUUUCUAUGCAAGAUUGUUUAUAUCUUCUUUAAUACAUGUUUAACAGUGCACAAUCAACUUCUUAAUAGAAAAGAUGAUUUAAUACAUCAUCUGAAAUUUAGAAAUGCAGUUAACUACAGAUAACACAUUUUUUUUUAAUAGUAGAUAUUAUUAAGCAGGUUUCCACAUCCUGAAGUAAAACGUAUAAGUUCUUUCCUUUUUUAUUUCAGGAUUAAUUUAUUUUAAAAUACCUCCAUACCAAUAUUGGAAAGCAUGCAGAUUCUACCACUUUCUUCCAAUGUUUUGUACGAGAUAAGCAAGUGGUAAUGCAAAAAACUACGAUUGAUUUAUUUAAGUAAAGAAAAGUUUAUAAAAGAGAAGAAAGACAAGAGAGAGAGGGAGGUUGAAGAGACUGGAAGAGUAUGCUCACAAAGGGAAGGCUCCCUUAUAUAGACCUAAGAAACAAAUUAGUGGGGCUGCCUUGGCCCCAUAGCCACGAGAUUCGAUCUUUUACAAAAGAAAAAGUAAAUUGGCAGUUUUACUUGCCGACCACAACAAACAAGAACAGAAUAUUCCGCCGACACAACCAAACAAAAUUACCAAAAGGAGUUUAUAAAACAAACAGUUUAUAAUGGCUAAGAAGAAUCUAAUACCAAUCACCGAAUUGCGUUAAGGUUUAUCUUGGGCCGAAUCCUUCCAUCCUCUUUUAGAGAAUGCCAAAAUGAUGCCAGCUCAUGAUAUUCUCAUCUUCAAUAUUUUCUAGUCCUUAUCUGGAUCUUGUGAUUCUCAAUGCUCAUAUAGCUUCUCGGGUAUCAUCUUUCACUGAUCCUGGACCUCAUUAGAUGAGUCAUCCUUACAGAAUUGGAGAAAAAGAAAAAGAAGAAAAAUGAUAUUUGAAGAAAACAUAAACAUGUCUUCAUUAAUUCAUAUUCUGAAUUUCUGGGAUUAGCAGAUUAAUUGCCCGUGAGUAAAAAUCAAAGGGAUUUUCAAGAUGAUUUGUUGAGGAAAGUAGAUCUUCCUCCUUACCCAAUUGAAUUGGAAAAAAAUGAUUAUCAAAACACCAUGAUUAAUUUGUUUACAUAGAUCAGGCACAAUAUUGUUUGGGGAAAGUUAUUCCACUAUCUGACCAAAAUUUCCUUUUUAGUGAAAACAUAUUUUCAUUAUCAUCUUUUGUGGAUACAGAAAUCCCUUUCAAUAUCCAUGGCUUCCCUAUUCAAUAAAAAAGAUAAUCAUAUUAUGAUUAUGAGUAAAAUUACUUUUCCCCUUAUAAGAGGAUGCACUUCACCCAUCUUUGGAUAGGCUUCAAUAAUGUUAGAUAGGCAAAAUAUCCAUCUCAGGACGCAAAAUAUAUAGUCCCACCAUUCAUCCACCUCUGUGAUAGGCUUCAAUAAUGUUGAUAGGGGGGGGCAAAAUAUCCAUCUCAGGACCAUAUAUAGUUCACCAUUCAUAAAACCAUAUGAAUCUCCUUCAGCUUUCAUAAUCUGGGGACAUAGUUUAAUGAACCAAGUAUUUUUAUUUUUAGGGUUCUGGUAUAAGAACACCUGAUGAAAUCCAAAUUGAUAAUCCCAAUAAGUAUAAUUAUAGGAAUUAUCUCCCAUCUUUAU